rnacentral:lncRNA from 1 species
UUCUCCAAGUGCAGGUAACUCACUCCGAAGUUGACCUGAGUGGAGCGGUGGCACGCUUGCAGCUCAGCGGCAGCCUGCGGGAGCUGAGGGUCAGUGCUUGGAACAGACUUCCAGCUACGUUGUACACCUUCCCCGAGGCCGGUUGGGGAGGUCGGGGGACUGGUGGGAGAGAAGGAACCGGGGGGAAAAAGCAGCACCUGCAAGCACUAGGGAUUGUGGGUCAAACGGAAGGACGAUGGAAAACUGAACUCAGAAAUCCCAUGCAAACCGGAAUCAAAUGGGCAACACACCACAAGGCAUUCAGUACCCCACUGUAAAAGAAGUGUUUGCGGCAAAACAGUAAGGGACUAAAGUUACUUUUUUGUUAAGGCGGGAAAGAAACACAAAGUAUGUGGGGUCUGUUGCGUAAUUGCAUUUUUAACAUUCUUAUCUACAACAAACACUUUUCGUAUCCAGGUAGUUUACAGCUUUUCAAAUAGGUGGACAUCCUUUCAUGAGCUGAGCUGAUGAGGAAUGGCGAGCUUUUGAUAGAAAAAGGAGAUUUGGUUGAAUAGACACUUAACAUGGUCCAGGAGCCCUUCUUUGAUCUCAACUCUGCAGCCUGGGAUUCCAGAGCUGCCAACAACCGCUGAAUCCGUUCUAUAACCCUGUUGUCAUUUGACGUUUCCAGGCAGGCAUCAACAUUUACAUUGUAAUUCAAUAGAAGCAGCUACUACAAAGGUUCUUUAUCCUUGCAGUUUAAUAUGGUUGCUAGGGGAACAAUGCAGGAUGAAACUGGCUUUCUUGUGGUUCGGUUCCUCCUGGUUCGAACAACGCGAAUUAGCAAAGGUGUAAUUUAUAACCGCUGCUACCGGAGUGAAGUAUUUGUGGAAGUUCUGACGAGGAUCUAGCCCAUACACGUGGAUUGUGAAAAUAACGGAGGACAUGGAAAGCUUACCAUAUUUUACUACAAGUUAAUGCAAAUGCUAUCAGACUUGAUACAACUUCUAUUUUAAUUUUUUAUGGAUCACAAAUUCCUGAAAAAAUUAC